AGAGUUUGAUCCUGGCUCAGGAUGAACGCUAGCUACAGGCUUAACACAUGCAAGUCGAGGGGCAGCAUGAAGUCAGCUUGCUGACUUUGAUGGCGACCGGCGCACGGGUGAGUAACGCGUAUCCAACCUUCCCCUGUCUCGGGCAUAACCCGGUGAAAACCGGACUAAUUCCCGAUGUUGUUCCUUGACGGCAUCAGAUUGGAACCAAAGAUUUAUCGGACAGGGAUGGGGAUGCGUCUGAUUAGGUAGUUGGUGAGGUAACGGCUCACCAAGCCUUCGAUCAGUAGGGGUUCUGAGAGGAAGGUCCCCCACAUUGGAACUGAGACACGGUCCAAACUCCUACGGGAGGCAGCAGUGAGGAAUAUUGGUCAAUGGGCGAGAGCCUGAACCAGCCAAGUAGCGUGCAGGAUGACGGCCCUAUGGGUUGUAAACUGCUUUUAUACGGGGAUAAAGUUGGGGACGUGUCCCCAUUUGUAGGUACCGUAUGAAUAAGGACCGGCUAAUUCCGUGCCAGCAGCCGCGGUAAUACGGAAGGUCCGGGCGUUAUCCGGAUUUAUUGGGUUUAAAGGGAGCGUAGGCCGGAGAUUAAGCGUGUUGUGAAAUGUAGGAGCUCAACUUCUGCACUGCAGCGCGAACUGGUUUCCUUGAGUACGUAGGAAGUUGGCGGAAUUCGUGGUGUAGCGGUGAAAUGCUUAGAUAUCACGAAGAACUCCGAUUGCGAAGGCAGCUGACUGUAUCGUAACUGACGCUGAAGCUCGAAAGUGUGGGUAUCGAACAGGAUUAGAUACCCUGGUAGUCCACACGGUAAACGAUGGAUGCUCGCUGUUGGCCUUUUUGGUCAGUGGCUUAGGGAAACCGUUAAGCAUCCCACCUGGGGAGUACGCCGGCAACGGUGAAACUCAAAGGAAUUGACGGGGGCCCGCACAAGCGGAGGAACAUGUGGUUUAAUUCGAUGAUACGCGAGGAACCUUACCCGGGCUUGAACUGCCGGCGAACGAUUCAGAGAUGAUGAGGUCCUUCGGGACGCUGGUGGAGGUGCUGCAUGGUUGUCGUCAGCUCGUGCCGUGAGGUGUCGGCUUAAGUGCCAUAACGAGCGCAACCCCCGUCAGUAGUUGCCAUCGGGUAAUGCCGGGCACUCUGCUGAUACUGCCACCGCAAGGUGUGAGGAAGGUGGGGAUGACGUCAAAUCAGCACGGCCCUUACGUCCGGGGCUACACACGUGUUACAAUGGGGCAUACAGCGAGUUGGCCGCUGGCAACAUCGGUCUAAUCCAUGAAAGUGUCCCUCAGUUCGGACUGGGGUCUGCAACCCGACCCCACGAAGCUGGAUUCGCUAGUAAUCGCGCAUCAGCCAUGGCGCGGUGAAUACGUUCCCGGGCCUUGUACACACCGCCCGUCAAGCCAUGAAAGCCGGGGGCGCCUGAAGUCCGUGACCGCGAGGGUCGGCCUAGGGUGAAACCGGUGAUUGGGGCUAAGUCGUAACAAGGUAACC
rnacentral:rRNA from 1 species